UAAUACGUAGGGUGCGAGCGUUGUCCGGAUUUAUUGGGCGUAAAGAGCUCGUAGGCGGUUUGUCGCGUCGGCCGUGAAAUCUCCACGCUUAACGUGGAGCGUGCGGUCGAUACGGGCAGACUUGAGUUCGGUAGGGGAGACUGGAAUUCCUGGUGUAGCGGUGAAAUGCGCAGAUAUCAGGAGGAACACCGGUGGCGAAGGCGGGUCUCUGGGCCGAUACUGACGCUGAGGAGCGAAAGCGUGGGGAGCGAACAGG
rnacentral:rRNA from 1 species